ensembl:piRNA 21ur-10664 ncRNA
UGGAGAGGAAAGUGAGAUAUU